AGGAAACAGCUUGCUGUUUCGCUGACGAGUGGCGGACGGGUGAGUAAUGUCUGGGAAACUGCCUGAUGGAGGGGGAUAACUACUGGAAACGGUAGCUAAUACCGCAUAACGUCGCAAGACCAAAGAGGGGGACCUUCGGGCCUCUUGCCAUCAGAUGUGCCCAGAUGGGAUUAGCUAGUAGGUGGGGUAACGGCUCACCUAGGCGACGAUCCCUAGCUGGUCUGAGAGGAUGACCAGCCACACUGGAACUGAGACACGGUCCAGACUCCUACGGGAGGCAGCAGUGGGGAAUAUUGCACAAUGGGCGCAAGCCUGAUGCAGCCAUGCCGCGUGUAUGAAGAAGGCCUUCGGGUUGUUAAGUACUUUCAGCGGGGAGGAAGGGAGUAAAGUUAAUACACUUUGCUCAUUGACGUUACCCGCAGAAGAAGCACCAGGCUAACUCCGUGCCAGCAGCCGCGGUAAUACGGAGGGUGCAAGCGUUAAUCGCCAUUACUGGGCGUAAAGCGCACGCAGGCAGGUUUGUUAAGUCAGAUGUGAAAUCCCCGGGCUCAACCUGGGAACUGCAUCUGAUACUGGCAAGCUUGAGUCUCGUAGAGGGG
rnacentral:rRNA from 1 species